rnacentral:rRNA from 1 species
AUGACUCCAACUCACCUCCACCUCCUCCUACUCCUGCUACUACUAGUAUGCUCCUACCCCAUAGAUACUGCAGCCAAGCAUAACACCACUGCCUCUUGCCUCCGAGAUCAAGCUUCUUUGCUCCUCCAGCUAAAGCGUUCAUUCACCGAUGUCGACGCGAAUCUGGCGUCCUGGCAAGCUGGAAAAGACUGCUGCCACUGGGAGGGCGUCACCUGUGACAUGGCUGCCGGGAGAGUCGUUUCCCUGGACCUCGGUGGGUUUCACUUGGCGAGCCGUCAACUCGAUGUUGCGCUCUUCAACCUUACCUCUCUGAGAAACCUCAGUCUUGCGUGCAAUGACUUUGGUAAUUCCAACCUCCCAUCUUAUGGGUUUGAGCGGCUCACAAAUAUCAUCCAUCUCAAUUUCUCCUCUACCAAUUUUUUCGGCCAGAUUCCUAUUGGAAUUUCCUGCCUCAAGAACCUUGUCACUCUUGAUUUUUCUAAUAACAAUCACAUGUAUUUGCAAGAUCCAAACUUCCAGACCUUCAUGGCAAAUCUAAGCAACUUAAGGGAGCUCCGUCUCGAUGAAGUGGGCAUCUCUAAUGGUAUUGGUGGGUCAACUUGGUCCGUUGCAUUAGCGGACUUUGCUCCUCAACUAGAAAUUCUUAGCUUGGUUAUGUGUGGUAUAUCUGGUCCUAUUCACCAUUCCUUCUCGAGGCUUCAUUCGCUAACAGAGAUACUGCAGAACCUCUAG